UAUAUUUCUUUUCAUGUAUAUUUCUUUUGGGGAGCUUUUAUUUUGUUAAUUGUAUUUUUGUUGCGUGACCUUUGACAUUUUGGUCAUGUCACUUCCUGUCGACCUGCGCCGUGACCGUCCUCCUCAGGUGCCGUCGAGUUGCGCUGAGGAGAGGUGUGCAGGGUUAGGGUUAACCCUAACCCUAACCCUAACCCUAGACACCUGGUCAUGAGAAGUUGCUGUACUGAUAUUAUCAUGUUACACACAGUAUGCAGCUACAGUCAGCAGCUGCUUAGCUUAGCUUAGCAUGAAGACUGCGAACAAUGGGAAACAACUAGCCUGGCUCAGCCCCAAAGUGGAGACAGGUGUGCUGGAGUCAGAGCAGAACUCCACCAGCUGCAACCAGUUCCACAAUCAAGACCUGCAUAAAUCCUCAGCCACUUCCACUCUGCUCCCCAUCAAUGUUACCAAGCUUUCAGCCAAAUUUGCCACCAGUUUUUCUGUUCAGCGUUAAGUUCUUGUUGCCUGUUUCUCCAGUGCCAACCCUUUUCCUCCGGCCCCUGUCUCCCGCCUCUCGUUUGGCCAGAGCUGGAACCCUGCGCUACCUCAGGCCCCACUCCCGACCUGCUACACCUGCCCCUGUCCCAGCCUCAGUUCCUGGUUCUCAGGUACCAGUCCAAGCUUCCCCGAAGCCUGCUCCCCAUUUCCCCUGUACUUUGCAGUAUCUUCUACCUUAUUCCCGUCUCCUCGUCUGUCUGUACCUGAGUUCACCUGUUCUGUAGCCCCCAAUAACAGUUUAAUCACUUGCCAGUUCUUGUGCGUCUGCAAUAGAAAGAAUUUCCAUUUUAUAAAGACUGAAGACAGAUAUUGGUGCAUUUAGUGUACCAGUUAUGUUGAAAUAGUUUGUAGGUAUUUGAUUGAAUGCAUUAAGAUCUUUGUCUCUGUACCCUGACCAAACUACAUUUAAGAAAUUAAGGAGUUGAGAAAACUCAGAAUUUUAAAGGCAGCAAACGAAAAUUUAACAUUUUAACUUGUUUUUGACUUUUAGUUUGUCCAACAUUGAAUUUUCACUUGUUAAUUUUCUGUUAAGUAGCAAAAAUCUUAAAAUUUUAAUUUUAAUUUUAUUUGUAUUUAGAUACUUUGAUCAUUUCAGUUUGUGUUUGGUAUCAUUAAAGCAGCCUGAUUCCACCAUGA